UACGUAGGGGGCGAGCGUUGUCCGGAGUUACUGGGCGUAAAGCGCACGCAGGCGGUCUGUGAAGUUUGGAGUGACAGUUGGUGGCUCAACCACCAAAGUGCUUUGAAAACUGAUAGACUUGAGGGCUUCAGAGGGACACGGAAUUCCGGGUGGAGUGGUGAAAUGCGUAGAGAUCCGGAGGAACACCAAAGGCGAAGGCAGUGUCCUGGGGAGUACCUGGACGCGUCAGGUGCGAAAGCCAGGGG
rnacentral:rRNA from 1 species